rfam:Oryza meridionalis cultivar OR44 (W2112) chromosome 6, whole genome shotgun sequence.
AAUAAGUGUAGUUUUAACAUUGUUAUAUCUAACGUUUGAUCGUUCGUCUUAUUUGGGAAAAAAAUUAUGAUUAGUAUUUUUAUUAUUAUUACAUGAUAAAACAGGAGUAGUAACUAAUUUUUUCAUAAAUUUUUCAAAUAAGAUGGACGGUCAAAACACUAAACACGGAUAUCUAUGGCUACACUUAUU